rnacentral:tRNA from 1 species
ACGGGUGGAGUCACCCAGCCUUCCAAGCUGACUGUGCGGGUUCGAUUCCCGUCACCCGCU